AUUUAUAUUGUUUUGGAAAAAAAGAAAUUUUUUUUAUCCUCCCGCAACCGCCCGCAACCGCAAACGCUAGCUGGAACCAGCUUUUGAAUUUAUGAGGUUCGGAACGAUUUGGAGCGGUUUGGAACGGUUUGGAACGGUUUGAGCGAUUGUUGCAAAACGCCAACAACCGCUACCAACCGCAAAAGCUGCGUUUGCGGGUGGUAGCGGGAAAACCAGUCAUGCCCUAAAUGACCUGAAGAAAAGCAUAGUGAUAGAGAUAUAAGAUAAUCAACACCAAGAUAUAAGAUAAUUAACACCGUCGCCAAACUAUAAUCCACUUGAACUUUUAUUACAUCUACAAAUUAUUUUUAGAAAGGUGAAAUCAAAAUUACCUCGAGGGCUUGCAUGUCAGAGGUCUCAAGUUCCAUGAAUUUAUUUAGCUAUUGUGUUUAUUUUCUAACAUAAUUUUUUAAUUUGAAGAACAUAUAACUUUAAUCUCAUGAAACCCAUUUCAUAAAUGUUUUGUAUGAUUUCGAGAAUAAUUCAUGGAACAAAAAUAAUUUACAAAAUUUGAGAAUUCUAACCGCUACGGUCUCUCCAACCUUACAAACUGAGUUGAAAAACCACAAACUUUAUUAUAAUUAUUCCCACACCUGUCUCAGCUUUUCUUUUUUUUUUAUUCCAAGAGCUUUGCCUAUGAUGCUCUGAUAGAAUUUUGUAUACGGAGCAGUCUUGUUUCGCUGAAGAAACGUUUCUAUCGACUGUUGAUCGUUUGGAAAGAAAGCAGCUUCAUCUCUAUCUUCAUUUGCAUAAACUCAAUAUUCAACUCCACCUGAUUCAUCGCUCAGUGCAUCAGUGAAACAAUUGCCAGGAAAUAGGACAAUUAAGAGUUUUAAGAUAUGAAUCAGCUAGACUGUGAACAUUUGAGGAUGUAGCUGAUAAUCUGGGAUUCUAGGAACUUUUGGCCUUCUGCUUCUUCCCUUUUUUAUCUGUAGAUGCCAACUGUGGAAGCGGAAGGAAACUUCAUAGACAUACCUCUGGAGUCCAUACUUUUUUUCAUUUCCAGCAUGUAAACACUGAUCAUAACUCAUAGACUCCGCUGGAAUAAAAGUUCCUACUGUAACAUGAUGAGAAUCGAAGCCUGUGAGUAGAAGAUUUUAUUUCUACUUUGUAAAGUGUGAUUCUCAGUUUCAUAAUGGUAGUUUAUUUCACCAUU